GCUGAUAUAGCUUAAAUUUAAAGCAUAGCACUGAAGAUGCUAAGAUAAAUCCUAAAAAAUUUUACCGGCA
rnacentral:tRNA from 1 species